rnacentral:rRNA from 1 species
AUGAACGCUGGCGGCGUGCCUCACACAUGCAAGUCGCACGGAGUCGUUUUGGAAAUCUCUUCGGAGAUGGAAUUCUCGACUUAGUGGCGGACGGGUGAGUAACGCGUGAGCAAUCUGCCUUUAAGAGGGGGAUAACAGUCGGAAACGGCUGCUAAUACCGCAUAAAGCAUUAAAUUCGCAUGUUUUUGAUGCCAAAGGAGCAAUCCGCUUUUAGAUGAGCUCGCGUCUGAUUAGCUAGUUGGCGGGGUAACGGCCCACCAAGGCGACGAUCAGUAGCCGGACUGAGAGGUGGAACGGCCACAUUGGGACUGAGACACGGCCCAGACUCCUACGGGAGGCAGCAGUGGGGAAUAUUGCGCAAUGGGGGAAACCCUGACGCAGCAACGCCGCGUGAUUGAAGAAGGCCUUCGGGUUGUAAAGAUCUUUAAUCAGGGACGAAACAAAUGACGGUACCUGAAGAAUAAGCUCCGGCUAACUACGUG